rnacentral:rRNA from 1 species
CGUAGGACAUUAAUCGUUGAACGAACGAACCAUUGGUAGCGGCUACACCACCAGGGUGUCCUGAUCCAACAUCGAGGUCGUAAGCCCCCCUGGCGAUAUGGACUCUUAAGGGAAAUGGCGCUGUUAUCCCCGGGGUAACUUGGUUCGGUUGUCAGUGUUACUGGGUCUAAGUGGCUAGUUGUUUGGCUUGUCAGCCUUUCGGUGGGGGGUUAGCCUAAUUUCGUGGAGUUCUGUUUUUCUCCGUAGUCGCCCCAACUUAAAAUUUAUACUAUGUUUUAGAUUAAAGGGUAGUGGUAGGUUUGAAGCUCCACGGGGUCUUCUCGUCUUGUGUAAAUAUUUCAGCUUUUGUACUGAAAGAUCAGUUUCAUUGAUUGGCCGUAGGGGACAGUUAAACUCUCAGUUGGCCGUUCAUGCUAGUCUCUAAUUAAGAGACAAGUGAUUACGCUACCUUUGCACGGUUAUAAUACCGCGGCCGUUAAAU